UAAAAAUAAGCUAAUACUUGCAUGGGGUUACUUGUAAAAGGCAAGAGGAAAAUAUGUGCGUUAAUUGCCAAGUGGUCGAAAAAAGUUUGUUAUAGAAUGCUUUUCUUACUGGUACACGAGUAUAUAUGUUUUUAGAAAGUUUGAAGGCUUGACUCCCACGUUGAUAAGAAUUAAGACAAAUAAUGUAAUAUGGCUUCGAUUAUCUGCAGUUCAGACCUUCAGUCAAUUAUUUUAAUUGGUCCGCGGUCUGUUGAGCAUUCCACGUGGCACGGUAUCUAUGCAGCACCUCUGACCACAUGUUUUAGGAAGCUUGACGCUUUAAUAUAUUCGUGUUAUAAAGUUAGUAUAUAAGCAUUUAAUGAUUGCCUGAGGAUUUUAGGGCAGCCUUAUGUAUGGAAAGUGAAAAUGUUGUAACCUCAAGUGUUUCGCCUUCUUUGCCCUUGUUGUGGUCGAGCUUCCCUAGUUCAUAAGUAAAAUUAAUAUUUACACUACAUAGAGCUUAUGUGGAAACUGUAAUCAAAGCGCUGGUAUAGUUAAUACACCACUGUGCAGCUUCCACCUGCAUGGUACGACAGCAGCCAUAGUGUGCCAGUACGCUAACCACACAUCAGCUAUCAGUGGGGAGGAGAACAGAGUAAUCGUGGAGGCCAUGAUAAGUAAAGACCAGGGGGAAUUUGGGCUGGGGAUUUACGGCGUCCUGGUCGAAUUAUAUAAGACUAAUGUCGAUGUUUUACACGAAACGUCCAUCAUGUGUCCCGCUUGCGAUCGCCACGUGGUCAAGAAGGCGGUAUUUGCACAAUGGAGUCUGGUCGAGCCACACUGGUCUCGGGUCACCUGAACAGAUUUAAUGUUGGUGAAAUCCGAAGUCUCUUUUAAGCAUCAGCAUAACAGGAUGCUGGUUUGCUGGAAGCAUCACAAACAUCUUUUAACAGACCUGAAUUGAAGUGUGGAGAUCACUGUACCUGUUGAUGUUGCCAAAGUUACUUCAGGACUGGGUCUCACAAUUUUUUUUCAGAAAUCUGAAGUCUCUUCACAAGAGGAUGCCAGUUUGCUGGUAAAUUCCAAAAAAGAGUACACCGUGUUGGCUUGACCAGUGAAAUUGGAGAAAGUUCACACCACCCGAUUUCUGACUGCUACAAAAGAAGCUAAGAACUCCCAUCACACUGAAGUUCAUGUUCAGUGUUAUUAGUAAUUCUUAGCAUUUGAGUCAGUCUGUGCCUAUUAACCGUCACAGAUGUCACAUUGUAAAUGUUUUGUUAAUAUGAUUUAAAAAUGUUCAUUUAUCAGUAUUUUGUGAAUUUAAAUAUGCAUUUGCACAGCCACUGUAAGUUCAAGAAAGAGAUGCUUAUUUGUAUAGAUCAGAAUCAUAAACCCAACAUAUAAAAGCGUUAACAGGAACAUGCUUUGUUAAAAUUGAGGCUAUUGUUUUGGUUUAUAAGAGCCAGUAGUUAAACCAGGCUUUAUAGUUAAAUACAACUACCAUGAAUUUAGCCUAUGUUGGUUGUAAGGGAAAUAUGUAGGAAGUAAUAAGUCAAACAAUAUUGCAAAUGGGAAGAAAAUUUGUCCUGCCAUUGACUAUAAGUGCCAUAUUGAUCCUUUAUCUUACCUAGAUCUUUUUUGAAAGAUCCCAGAGAAUCUAGUUCAGCAGUAUGUCUAGGUAGUUUGUUCCAGUUAUAAUUCUUCAUUGGGUUUGUGGUCCUCUUAUCCUUCAGGUGUUUUUUCCCAAGAUUAUAUAUAAUUGAGGUCUGAAGAUAUUUGGUACCACAGGAAUUGCUGUUCUUGUGAUAUUGUUUCAUUGUCUAUUUGUAAUUAAGCAUAACUUUUUUUGCAGUUAAAACUGCUGCUACCAAAUCAGGUUUCUAAAUGUAUUAUAAUGAAGUCAUUCAGAGCUCAUCUGAAAUGAAAAUCAGAAGACACUCAAGAACCCUUGGGGCAAGGUUACAGACCCUUGAUAUAACACAUCUUUAGACUAAAUCAGCUCUGCCUUUUAUGGUUUGCUAGUGUUUGAAAGGAAAGCUUGAAGACCUAUAAAGGUUUCAGUCCUGUGACUACAUUCUGUGCCAAAACUUAUGGUACAUUGUAUCUUAUUAGACAAAAACAGGAUAUGACCAGAAAGACUUUUGGCAACUGAUGCAUUUAUUAUGAUCUAAUUUUUGUAUUGUACUAAGCCAUCAGAUGAAAACAUGAUUGUAAACAGGUGAAUAAAAUAACUACAUUUGUGCAAAAAGUACAGCAGCAUAGAUACAUGAUGAAUAAAAAAUAAUUCAACUGA